GGAAGUAAAAUCGUAACAAGGUUUCCGUAGGUGAACCUGCGGAAGGAUCAUUAUUGUAUAACCGAGGUGCGAGGGCUGUCGCUGACCCGAAAGGUCGUGCACGCCCGAGUGCCCUCACACACAUCCAUCUCACCCCUAUGUGCACCACCGCGUGGGUCCCCCUUUGGCUUGUUCGGAGGGGGGCUUGCGUUUUCACACAAACUUUGUAUGCAGUGUAGAAUGUAUUUUUUGUUUUUGCGAUCACGCAAUCAAUACAACUUUCAACAACGGAUCUCUUGGCUCUC
rnacentral:misc_RNA from 1 species